UCGAUGUGAAAAACGGCAAAGACAAGAUCCAUGUUGAUCUCAUCAUCUGCGCUGAGGGGUCCACAAGCAAUACCCUUUUGAAGACUCUUAGUGAAGAUGAUUUGAAAGAUGAGGGAGAUUUUCUAAUUUUCCAGCAGAAAUCAGAUGACUGGGAGCUACUUGAAGCCAGCUCCAUUACCCGUUUCGAUCCAUCAUCGGACUUGACACACUGUGCCGUUUUCAUCUACAGGAAUGACGUUCCUCAAGAUUUCACCGAUGGCGACUU